GGGUAUCGGACCCCCUGAUACGGGCCGUCCGUUCCCUGUACGACCCGUGUCAGAGCUUGAAUCAGCAAGAGUCCAAAUCCGAGUCCAUGGUCCUCAGCUGGAAAAGGGUGGAGUGCCUUCUCCGGGUCGGGGAUGAGAUCCUGCCCCAAGUGGAGGAGUUUAAAUACCUCGGGGUCUUGUUCACGAGUGAGGGAAGGAUGGAGCGGGAGAUCGACAGGCGGAUCGGUGCGGGUUCUGCAGUAAUGCGGACUCUGCACAGAUCCGUUGUGCCUCACCUAUGGUCAUGAGCUUUGGGUAGUGACCGAAAGAACAAGAUCG